UACGGGGGGGGCAAGCGUUGUUCGGAAUUACUGGGCGUAAAGAGUGUGUAGGCGGUGCUCUAAGUCUGUCGUGAAAUCUCCCGGCUUAACUGGGAGGGUGCGGCGGAAACUGGUGUGCUCGAGGGUGGGAGAGGUAAGCGGAAUUCCUGGUGUAGCGGUGAAAUGCGUAGAUAUCAGGAGGAACACCUGCGGUGUAGACAGCUUACUGGACCACUUCUGACGCUGAGACACGAAAGCGUGGGUAGCAAACAGG
rnacentral:rRNA from 1 species